AUUGAACGACGCUGGCGGUAUGCUUAACACAUGCAAGUCGAACGGUAACAGGCAAAGCUUGCUUUGCGCUGACGAGUGGCGGACGGGUGAGUAACGCGUGGGAAUCUGCCUUAUAGUGGGGAUAGCCCGGAGAAAUCCAGAUUAAUACCGCAUACGCCCUACGGGGGAAAGUUGGGGAUCUUCGGACCUGACGCUAUUGGAUGAGCCCGCGUUAGAUUAGCUUGUUGGUGGGGUAAUGGCCUACCAAGGCAACGAUCUAUAGCUGGUCUGAGAGGACGAUCAGCCACACUGGGACUGAGACACGGCCCAGACUCCUACGGGAGGCAGCAGUGGGGAAUAUUGCACAAUGGGCGCAAGCCUGAUGCAGCAAUACCGCGUGUGUGAAGAAGGCCUGAGGGUUGUAAAGCACUUUCAAUCGUGAAGAAAAGUUGUUGGUUAAUAACCUUCGACCUUGACAUUAUCGAUACAAGAAGCACCGGCUAACCCUGUGCCAGCAGCCGCGGUAAUACAGGGGGUGCGAGCGUUAAUCGGAAUUACUGGGCGUAAAGCGUACGUAGGCGGAUAUUUAAGUCAGAUGUGAAAGCCCCGGGCUCAACCUGGGAACUGCAUUUGAAACUGGGUAUCUAGAGUUUGGUAGAGGCAGGUAGAAUUCCUAGUGUAGCGGUGAAAUGCGUAGAUAUUAGGAGGAAUACCAGUGGCGAAGGCGGCCUGCUGGACCAAAAACUGACGCUGAGGUACGAAAGUCGUGGGGAGCAAACGGGAUUAGAUAGCCCGGUAGUCCACGCCGUAAACGAUGUCAACUAGUCGUUGGGACCCUUGAGGUCUUAGUGACGCAGCUAACGGCGUGAAGUUGACCGCCUGGGGAGUACGGCCGCAAGGCUAAAACUACAAAUGAAUCGAUUGGCGG
rnacentral:rRNA from 1 species